rnacentral:misc_RNA from 1 species
CGCACCUUGCACUCCUUGGUAUUCCGAGGAGUAUGCCUGUUUGAGUGUCUUGUAAUCAUCAAUCUAACAUUGCUUUUGUGAUGUGAGAUUGGAUUUGGAGACUGCUGGUCUUACGACUGGCUUCUCUUGAAUACAUUAGUAGAAUUGAGUUGCAGCGCUACGUGUAGUGUGAUAAUAUCUUCACUGCAUAGUUGUAAUGAAGUUUUGCUUCUAAUCGUCCCUCGUUGGACAAUAAUUGACCAUUUGACCUCAAAUCAGGUAGGACUACCCGCUGAACUUAA